CUGAAUACUCAUUUAGAUGGCAAGUCUAUGAGUCCUAAGUUAGUUCUUAACUGGUAGUUAGUACAGUUACCAGUAGUUAGCAGGUAAGUUAGUUUGGCUAACAAACAAAUAACAGGUCAGCUACACUCGCAGAGGAUAAGGUAGCAAGUAAGCUAAGGUCUGCUAGGGUGGCUGGGUAAGGGCCAAAUUAGCUAGGCUAGGACUGAGUGCAGCUACUUGGUAGGGUGGCUGAGUAGGGGUCAAGCAGAGGUUAGAGGGUUAACAGUAGAAGAAGCUAAGCUCAGCCAUAAAAGGCCAAGCUCAUUACCGAAAACCAAUUAGCUUCAUCACUUAGCAGAGGCCCAAAAGAAAUAACAGUAGAGUGAAAGUGAAGAGUUCGGUUUAAGAAGGAGGAGGAACUGUGCAGCUCCAAUCACUUGUGACCUUUGAAUCAACAAGUAAGUUCAAUCUAACCUUCCUAAACCUUUCGUCCCUGUUUCUCUAAAGAGUAGCAACCGAGCUGUAAAUGGUUAGAUGAUUAGGUGGCUUUGAUUUAAUUAACAUAAUGACUGUUUUAAUUGCUAUGUGAGCUACUGUGAUUAAGACUGCUGAGUUUGGUUAAUAGCUUCUUGUGCUAAGAGAAUAUGUAAUAUAUGCAUAUAGCUAGACUACCCACCAUCUGUUUGAUAAACUGCCAAACUAAGGACUGAUGUAGCAUCUAUGUAUACUAACUGUGAUUUUGAGUUCAAACUCUGUCAAAAUUUCCUAUACAGUGGGAGCAAUACCUCAAGCAUACUCUAUAAUUGACCUUAUCAGGUUUCAAUAUAAAUUGCACCCUAUGGUAACUUAACAAUUGUGCAAAGCAAGUAUGAAUAAACUGAAAUAGUGAGUUCCAUAGGGACUGUUGUUGGAAGCUUGAUUUGUAACAACUACUACUUGUUCUAAUAUGAUUAGUAUAUUAUAACAUGAUACUAGUAAAGCUUAAGCAAGAUAUGAUUCAAGGAUCUAAAGCCAGUCCUUGUGACUAUGGUUAAAAGCUUUCUUAUAAUAUCUACAAUUUUCCCCUAACCUGGCUGUUAUGUUAUAAAUGAGGAUAAUUACAUCAAGCUUUAAACUAAUUUUGAUGAUACUUUAAAAGCCUCAUUUGUGUGUUUUUUUUCCUAAAAAGGUUGAUGGUGGACUGUCUAUGUGUAAGCUAAGAUAGGCCAUCCGAAUGAAAGCUAUACCUAUUAGAUGAUAUAUAAAUAACCAGUUUUGGGUACUUGUUGCUUAAUCAUGUUAGCUUAGUAACUGAAUUUUUCAAAUCAUAUUAUCUAGUACCAAGAGGGACUGUUUUGGCCUAAAACAUGAAAACCUUACUGUUAGAUGUUUUAAACUAUGAAAAUAUAAUAUGUAAGAGGUUCAUGCUUUAGAAAUACAGAGAUCUCAUUCCUUGGUAUUGUUUUGAUGCAAAGGGUAUUAAACCAUGUCUAUAAUACUCUAUAUAGACUGUUUUGAUGAUGUAUUACUGAACCUUGCCUCUGUAGUUCUAAUAUAAACUCAAAGACUGUUAUAUGGAUUUUUGAAUUGCUAUGUAAACUAUUGUAGGAUCUAAUUGAAUGACAUGCUAUGUUGCUAUCAUGACUGACUGUUAACAUGAUAGGUGUUGAUAUAUUAAGUUGUUGUGUUAACUUUACUGCUAUGCUAUGGCUAUGAUAGUAUGGACUGAACUUAGGCACAAGGAGCUAAGUUGGGCUGAGGAGUAAUAAGGAGGAUAAAAUUGGCUUUCUUACACAAGCAAAUGUCUAUGACACAUAUAAUUUGAGACUGUGCACACCACAUGCUCGACGAAAGUCCCAAGUGGACUGCCUUAACAAAAAUCAAUUAGUAAGCCAACAUAAGGCUGGGAAUUGAUUUUGUAUUUCAAGUAAUGAAAAAUUGAAAUGUAUAGGCACACUAAAUAGAAGUCUUAGCUAAAAAUCAAAUGUGAAAUAUUUAUCAUGUCAAGUCCUUGGGCACACUGUUUUUAAGCAGCUGUGAAGGUUCAGGACAGGAGCUUGGCAUAAUUAUUAGUAGUUGAUGUCAUGCCUAGAUUAUACCACUGUUAGGCUAAUGAUUAACUUGGGUUGCAAAACUUUUAAAAUAUAACAAAGUGAGAGAUGGGAAAGGCUUAAGAACUGCUGUCUAUGACAGCAGUGACUGCCACAGCCCACAGAUAAAAAGAAUCUAGAAUGCUAGGGGUUAAAAGUAAAAGAAUUCAGUUAAAUCCCUGCCCAUUUGUUUAGUUACUGCAGUUGAUGAAGCAUGAUUACAUGUGACUGCAGCACUUGUAGCAGACCAAACAGCUUAUGGUAAUAGGUAUGCAAGAAAAUAAUAGUUGGCAGUGCAGUCAUACAUAGAAAAAAAUUAAUGGGAUAUCAAGUUAAAGAAGAAUGGCAGAACUGCUGCUCAUUUGUGGCAGCAGUUGCCAAGUUAGCAGCUGCAAUAGCAGCUUUAUGUUUGACUUAGGGGCUGUGAGGCCAAGCAAGGCCACACCCAGCUUAACUGAGCCUCACAAGGCCAAGCCAAGCUUGGCUGCUAGCACAGAAAAGCAACAAGAAGACUGUGGAAUGUGAACUGAGCAUGCUUUCUUUUAUUUUCUGUUAGCUGCAGUUAGUAAGAUAAAUUUUUUAAGGGAAGCUAUAAACUAAACAAGGCCAAAAUGAAGGGGACUGCUGCCUAGGAGCAGCAGCAGUUGAUGUCAAGUGACUGCUAAAGCAGUCUACUAACCACUUUGGUAGAGAAUUGAAAUCUUCAAAAAGCUAAUCAAAUGAUGUAGUUUGAGUAGGUGUUGUAAACAUAUAUGUAGACUUUAUAGUAUGCUUAUAAGUUGAGAAGGAAAAUGUGAUAAAGAGGAAGUUAUGUGACUGCUUAGAAGUGGCCUCAAGUAACUGCUAUUGCAGUGAUAGGCUUGCCAAAUUCAGUUAAAGCUAAGAAUAACUUAAACUACAUUAAGCUCCUUAUUGUCAAAACACAGGAAAAUGUUAUGGUAGUUUUAAAUUAGCUAAUUGGCCUUGAAAUUAAAAUGUGAAGAAUUAGGCAUAGAAGGAUAUUGGAAAUACCUUUAAUAAGCUACAAAAGCAUUUUUGUAUGCUAGAACUAAAACACUCAUGUGUUAAAAUCCUAAUAAGAUAUAAGCUAUAUAUAUGUUGUGUGGCACCAUUAAAAAGAAAAAUGGUGAAGAUAAGAACAUGGAUGAGAUAUUUGAAAAAUGUGUUAAAUAUAAGAAAUCUAUCCAUGACUACUAACAUGUUUGAUUAAUGCAAAUAAUGACUGUAAUAUGAUUCCUAUUACUUGUUGUAAGCAUGUCGAACCCCAUCAUGGAUAAGAUAUUUGAAAAAUGUAUCAAAAAAUAAGAAUUUAAUUACAACCAUGAUCACUGAAAUUAUGUGAUAUGUGAGCUUACAAACUAUAUAACUUAGCUAUGUGAUUAACAUGCUUGUUGAUAUAAAUAACUGUGUAGGAUUUUGUGAGAACACUUCAAUUAAGUUGAAAUCCUAACAAUAGACUACAAACAAGGUAAGUUUCUAACUCGUAUUCUUUAUUGAGCAAUUAUUUUGCAGUGGACAGGUUCUUUAAUUUCUGAACGGUCUGUCCUUAUUUAUGAAUAAUAUAAGGUUAAAUAGCCUUUUUAUUCCAAUCAGCUUCAAAAGAAUAGAAUAUCAACUUUACAAUCUUGAAUGAGUUUACAUUGAAAGUAUGUCAAUACCAUUACUUCGGUUAGACAAUUGUUGAGAUAUAUUGAUAUUAUUCAUGAAGUUAUCAGUUAAUGUUUUCCAAACCAUUUUGUUAUGGUAUGGAUUCUUAUAUAAUGCUGUGAACGAACAACCCUUUUAUAGGGGAAUAUUGUACCGGACAUAUGAUUCUGAAGGACAUGUAAAGUGUCAUUAGACUGUUAUGUUGUGCACAAUAUAGGGUACUUAGGCUGAUCCCCUAAAGUACGAGUCUAGGAUAUAAAACAGCUUUUAUAAACUGUAUGUAUCCAUGGAUUGUAGUAUUAUUACUGUCAAUUCUAGUAAAGAGUUCACUGGUCAUUUGACCUUACAGUAUGCUAAAGUCUAAUUUUUCAGACUCUAACACUUUUAAAGAAUUAUCUUGUUCAAUAUUUAUUAUUGAAUCCUCAUUGAUAUAAUAUUUCUGUUCCAUUAUAUUUAGCUGCUUAUUUCCUUGCUGAGCAAGCUUGUUGCUCAUCCUUGCGUUAAAUAUAAUGUUUUCAGUUAAGAAUGAAGUUGUUGGUCCAUCUGGAAAAGACAAAGGAAAGGGCAAAGUUGUUGAAUAUUCUUUUAUUAAGCGCAUGUGCUUAUUUAAGUAGUAAAUGUAAUAAAUACUGUUAGUACUAUGUUGUGUAAUGAUAUUCGAUUCAUAAGUUAUGUAAAGGUCUAUAGAACCUGGGAUUUAUGUUAUGUAAUAUAAGAUAGUUUUCUUUUAAUAUGAAUGGGUAUAUUAGUAUUGUGAGCACCAAACUCGAGUUAAAGAUAUCGAGUUAAAGAUAACCCGGAUUUUUAUUGGGGGCGUCAUCACUUUUAAUGAGUGAUGGACAAUAAGUUUUAGAUCAAUAUUCGCAGCGGAAAUAACAAUUCAUUA
rnacentral:lncRNA from 1 species